UGCGAUAAGCUUCGGGUAGGUGCAAAUAACCCUUGAUCCGGAGAUUUCCGAAUGGGACAACCUAGCCGUCUGAAGGACGGCUACUCAAUCUUCAAGGUUGAGAGCUAACGCAGGGAACUGAAACAUCUUAGUACCUGUAGGAAGAGAAAAUAAAUGAAUGAUUCCCCCAGUAGUGGCGAGCGAACGGGGAACAGCCCAAACCAGUGGCGUCGCAAGGCGUUGCUGGGGUUGUAGGACCGCGACAUUGUACUGAAAUGGUGAGUGGAAGUAUCUGGAAAGUUACAUCACAGAAGGUGAUAAUCCUGUACACGAAGCCAGAUUAGGCAUAGCGGUAUCCUGAGUAACGCGGGACACGAGGAAUCCUGCGCGAAUCUGCCGGGACCAUCCGGUAAGGCUAAAUACU
rnacentral:rRNA from 1 species